ACAGUAAAUACUUUGUAGCCUAAGACAUAGUAGUAAGGGUGGUGAAACGUAUUAAAAUAACCACCAAAACCUUGCUCCAUUGUAUUUUGAACCAAAUCAAUGAUAUAUCAAUAAUAUUUGAAUUUAUUAUUAUUAUUAUUUUAUU